GUAAUUAUAGUUUAGCUAAAACAUUAGAUUGUGAAUCUAAUAAUAGAAGAAUAUAACUUCUUAAUUACC
ensembl:Mt_tRNA